rnacentral:lncRNA from 1 species
AUGCCACUGUGUCCAUGCCACAGGCCAUCCCUCAGAGAAGGGAAAUACUGUCUUCUAUAUAGUAAAUAUCCAUGUCUUAAGAUGAAGAAAGAGGAAAAAAAUCAGAUUUGUACUUGGAUCAGAUUCCAAAUGUCCAUGAACGUGUGCAAUGGAAGGUGGAAAUUUUGUAUUUCUCCCCUGCUAAUUUCAUCAGGAUGCAACGGCGCUAUCCGUUCUGCUUUUCAGAGUGUGUCGGUCCUGCCUGGAAAAGCUUUGUAUUGUGUAAUGGCAGAAUGUUGUCCCUACUGUGCUGGGUUAUUGAAAUAAGCAGCGCAGUUACUACAGUCAAACAAUCGCAGACCUUUGUACCACACUGACAAUAGGAUUUCCAGCUCUCUUCCACUGAUGCAAAGAUGUUUAUGCCAUAUGAAAGCUGUAAGACUUUAAAUGAAGAGCACAUUUAAAUGAUGAGCUACACAAAGAAGUCCACCUAAUGACAAGCUGGUCAGCUGGCACUGCAGCAGUGGCAGGGAUUUUGCAAAGAAGGGACAGCCGAGACUGCAAGCUGGCCACAAAAAGCAGAUUCACCUUAAAAUGUUUCUUCUCAGGGCAGCCCUGCAACUGCCCCAGCUCCAGCUUGGGUGAGCGCUGCAGAUCCUGUGGCCAUAUAGGUCACAAGAUCACUAAAGCAUACAGACUUUAUGGUGUGGUAUGGCUCAGGGAACUGUUUUCCUGAUUUAUGAACCCAGCUUCAUGAAUAACUGUUUAGUUUUUGUUCCUCUCCUCUCAUUGUUAUUCUGUUUUCUAUUUUGCUAUUCCCCUCCUCGCUGCAGAGAGGGGACUUUCAUAACACAAGGGAUACCCAGGGAAUACUGAAGCAAUGGUAACUAAGGCACACCAUGGAAGCUGAGGGCAAACUCUGUACUGAUAGCUAUGUGCAGCAGAAAUAUUCUGUAUAUUGUUAGUUCCAUCUCGUCCUGUCCUUAAUAUUCCCUUCAGGGCUUUCUUCCCUGGCAUACAGUGCAGCAAAUACCUAGGGAAUAUUGCAAAAACCGAGGGAACAUUAUCUAGUUACCUAAGGCAACUGAAAAGUUUUCAAACUGACCAGCGUAGUUGUGUUUCACAACUUCCAUUUAAUAGACAAUGCCUGUCUCUCAAAAUAUCCACAUGGAAAUGCAGAGGCAACUGCGAAGUUUGAGUGCUCUGUCUGUGUGUCCUGCCUGCAUCCAAUUAACAGCCAAACUAUUUGAAAGGAAAGUGAUCAAAUGGAAUGAAUUAAUUUUAAAAAUAAUUGGUUUUAUU